AUUAAAAUGAACAAGCUUUGAAAAUGCUCAUUGCUUGCAAGAAUGCCUCCCUUCCUCUUGACUUCUAAUUUACCAGAGCGGCCAAGUCCAGAGAGCUUCAGAGGGAGUUCAAACUCAGAAGAUCUGACUUUGUCAACUCUUUACAGACCUACCUACCUAGGACUACUUUUUUGAGACUGGAAAAGGGACCUUUGGAAAGAGAGCUUCAUCAUGGAAGGAGAAAGUGCUUGGAGGUUCUUCACAGGAGAGAUGGUCUUGUAUGCUGAGUGACCGGUGACACACUGAACCAGGAUGGGUAAAAAUUCUCUGGGCCCCAGCAAGCUGACAGAUACAGUCGGCAAACAUAGCUGUGACAGGAGAGCUAUGAAAAGCGCUAACAGGAGUGAAUACCCUUCACCAGCUCCCAGCACCAGGAGUUUUUGCUAUCUGUAGCUUCCCUUUUGGACCCUCAUCAAGCCACCACUCACUGUGUUACCAGUAGUGGGGAGAAGCCCACCAGCACCGGCACGUGGCUGUGCUGCCAAUCAGCCAUGGUGAGAAGGCUCCUGGCCCCUGUGAGGCUCCUGCUGUCUGCCCAGCACCAUGACCACUCCUGAUUAGACGGACGCUGGAGCUGCACAGAAUAAGCACAAAGGGAGGGCUUUGGGUGAAAAGGUGGCAUCUCCCUGCAGGCUGUUGUAUAGACAAGGAUCCAUGUGAAGCUCAAAUGCCUUUCUCUGAAAAUAUUUAGACAUUCUUGUGAAAAAUAAACACGGCUGUCUCACUGUUGGCUGACUGAAGCACGACGAUUAACUAGAGCUGGGCGAAUUCUGUGUAGUUCAGUGUGAACUUGCCAGUUCUCUGACGGUUUCAUCUCCACCAUCCCUCUGACUGGCCAACGUUUAUUCCAGAUACUGGGCGCUUGCUCUGUUACCAAGAGCAGCAGCAAGGAAGAGCAGCAGGAGCAGGACACUGAGGUACCGCGGCAGGAAGCAGCAGUGGGAAGCGUGACGUCUUUACCCAGGUGUUGGCUGCCAGAG